AGUCAUUACGAGGUUGCACUAUGAAGGUAACACUGUUUUUAAUUUGCUUGCUUUUGGCAAUCGAUUUGAGUUUUGGGGGUGGAGAUGAUAUGCAGCAAAUUGUUGGAGGAAUUUGUGGUGGUGCGAGUAAAAGUGGUGUCUGUUUGAAGGCAAAUACUUUCAACUACAAUGCCAGCACUAGGAAGUGCGAAAAAGUGGAACGAGAUGGGGGAGCUUGUGGAUUCUUUAAGUUUAAGGAGAGAUGCGAACAAUUAUGUAAUAGUGUGAAAAAGGAAUUAGUUCGCAAAGCAAACCGCUUGCCCCAACCAAUCUCCAAAUAAAUGAAUAUUGCUGAUAUUUAAA